CGAAGCUUUCAAGAGCAAUAAACUGUUGUUUGUUCUUCAUAACUAACUUCUUUCAAUAAUAUGUCAUCGUUUGAUGAACUGUGUUCCACUGGACAGGCAGCAAUGCUGACAGUAAAAGAGCAGGGAUACAAACAAUUACAAUAUCAAUCGAGCAAACGCUGUCAAAAGCGAAUAACAAAAGCUGGAUAAAGACAUUUAGGUGCCUAUAUCGGUGGUGUCCACCUCUUCCCAUUCCGAACAGAGAAGUUAAGCCCACCAGAGCCGAUGGUACUGCGGUAACACGUGGGAGAGUAGGUCGGUGCCAAAU
rnacentral:rRNA from 1 species